rnacentral:rRNA from 1 species
UAGGGAAUCUUCCACAAUGGGCGAAAGCCUGAUGGAGCAACGCCGCGUGUGUGAUGGAAGGGUUUCGGCUACGUAAAACACUGUUGUAAGAGAAGAAUGACAUUGAGAGUAACUGUUCAAUGUGUGACGGUAUCUUACCAGAAAGGAACGGCUAAAUACGUGCUAG